GAUUUCUGGCUUGAAACCUGUUGCCGGCCGCGGUUUCGCGUGUCAGUGCUGCAGGGUCUGGCCAUCCUUCCAGUCGCGUCCGGCUAUUCUUCACUGAGUGGUCGGCGAGAUUGGAUCUUUUACUUUGAAAAAAUUAGAGUGUUUCAAGCAGGCUUUAUGCUAUGAAUACAUUAGCAUGGAAUAAUAAUUUAGGACUUCGGUUCUAUUUUGUUGGUUUCUAGGACUGAAGUAAUGAUUGAUAGGGAUAGUUGGGGGUGCUAGUAUUCAGCGGCCAGAGGUGAAAUUCUCGGAUUCGCUGAAGACUAACUUAUGCGAAAGCAUU
rnacentral:rRNA from 1 species